GAUGAAGAACGUAGCGAAAUGCGAUAAGUAAUGUGAAUUGCAGAAUUCAGUGAAUCAUCGAAUCUUUGAACGCACCUUGCGCCCUUUGGCUAUUCCGAAGGGCAUGCCUGUUUGAGUAUCAUGAACACCUCAACUCUCAUGGUUUGCCAUGAUGAGCUUGGACUCUGGGGGUCUUGCUGGCCUAUGGUCAGCUCCUCUCAAAUAAAUCAGCUUGCCAGUGUUUGGUGGCAUCACAGGUGUGAUAACUAUCUACGCUUGUGGUUUUCCAUCAGGUAACCUUCAGUGAUGGAGGUUCGCUGGAGCUCAUAAAUGUCCCUCCUCAGCGAGGACAGCUUUUUGAACGUUUGAUCUCAAAUCAGGUAGGACUACCCGCUGAACUAAAGCAUAUCAAUAAGCGGAGGA
rnacentral:misc_RNA from 1 species